rnacentral:rRNA from 1 species
CCUACGGGUGGCAGCAGUGGGGAAUAUUGGUCAAUGGACGCAAGUCUGACCCAGCAACGCCGCGUGAAGGAAGAAGGCUUUCGGGUUGUAAACUUCUUUUUAUGGGGAAGAGCAGAAGACGGUACCUCUUGAAUAAGCCAUGGCUAACUACGUGCCAUCAGCCGCGGUAAUACGAGGGUGUCAAGCGUUAUCCGGAUUUACUGGGUGUAAAGGGCGUGCAGGCGGAGAGACAAGUAAGAUGUGAAAUCCACGUGCUCAACCCGGGAACUGCAUUUGAAACUGUUUCUCUUGAGUGUAGGAGAGGUAGGCGGAAUUCGUGGUGUAGCGGUGAAAUGCGUAGAGAUCAGGAAGAACACCGAUUGCGAAGGCAGAUUACUGGACGACAACUGACGUUGAGGCGCGAAAGCGUGGGGAGCAAACAGGAUUAGAUACCCUUGUAGUC